GUAGUCUCGCACAGAUGCAUAUCAAUAAGCGGAGGAAAAGAAACUAACAAGGAUUCCCCUAGUAACGGCGAGUGAAGCGGGAAGAGCUCAAAUUUGAAAUCUUAAAGGGUUUCCCUUUACGAAUUGUAGUUUAAAGAAGUGUUUUCUGUUGAGGUUUUGGUAAAAGUUCUUUGGAAUAGGACAUCAUAGAGGGUGAGAAUCCCGUAUUUGACCUUUACUUUCAACUUUGUGAUACACUUUCAAAGAGUCGGAUUGUUUGGGAAUGCAGUCCAAAAUGGGUGGUAAAUUUCAUCUAAAGCUAAAUAUUGGCGAGAGACCGAUAGCGAACAAGUACCGUGAGGGAAAGAUGAAAAGAACUUUGAAAAGAGAGUUAAACAGUACGUGAAAUUGUCAAAAGGGAAGCGUUUGACACCAGUGUUGUUUUUCUGAAAAUCAAUUAGAGAACUGUUUAUGCUAAGCUGUUUAGACUUUAUCAGCUAAUCUGUUUAGUUUUGAGCUUUUCUUUAAUGCACUUUUCAGUUAACAAGUCAACAUCAAUUUCUUUUGCUGUAAAAAAGCUUGAGGAAGGUGGCUUGAGAUUCGUCUUAAGUGUUUAUAGCCUCUUGCCUAUGCAGUCGGAGAGAUUGAGGUCUGCAGCGUAGAUCCUUCGGGGCUAAAUGCAUUUGUGCUAAGUUAUAGCAUUUUAUAGACAACUUGUUGACUAUGAUUUGUCUUGUAGCUUACUCGCUUAUGUUAUUUUACCUACGCUUAGGAUGUUGACGCGCGUGUGUGCGUG
rnacentral:rRNA from 1 species